rnacentral:RNase_P_RNA from 1 species
CAGACGAUCGCGGCUGCAGGCGCCGAAAGGCAGCAGACGAGGAAAGUCCGGGCUUCACAGGGCAGGAUGCCGGAUAACGUCCGGUGGAGGUGACUCCAAGGCCAGUGCAACAGAAAUAAACCGCCCGGGCGGAGAACUGAGGAGAAGACAGAGUGCUUCUUUUGAGCUCUCCGUCCGGGUAAGGGUGGAAAGGCAGUGUAAGAGACUACCGCCUCUCUGGUAACAGAGGGGGCACAUGUAAACCCCAUCCGAAGCAAGACCGGAAAGAAGCAGUGUGGCUGCCCGCCACGCUUCAGGUAGGUCGCUCGAGCACGGCGGUGACGCCGUGCCUAGACAGAUGAUCGUCCAACGACAUAACCCGGCUUAUCGUCUUGCUUA